AUUGAACGCUGGCGGCAGGCUUAACACAUGCAAGUCGAGCGGAGAGAGGUAGCUUGCUACUGAUCUUAGCGGCGGACGGGUGAGUAAUGCUUAGGAAUCUGCCUAUUAGUGGGGGACAACAUUUCGAAAGGAAUGCUAAUACCGCAUACGUCCUACGGGAGAAAGCAGGGGCUCUUCGGACCUUGCGCUAAUAGAUGAGCCUAAGCCGGAUUAGCUAGUUGGUGGGGUAAAGGCCUACCAAGGCGACGAUCUGUAGCGGGUCUGAGAGGAUGAUCCGCCAAACUGGGACUGAGGCACGGUUCAGACUCCUACGGGAGGCAACAGUGGGGAAUAUUUGACAAAGGGCGCAAGCCUGAUCCAGCCAUGCCGCGUGUGUGAAGAAGGCCUUCGGGUUGUAAAGCACUUUCAGUAAGGAGGAAGCGUUGAGUGUUAAUAGUACUCAGCGUUGACGUUACUUACAGAAGAAGCACCGGCUAACUCUGUGCCAGCAGCCGCCGUAACAC
rnacentral:rRNA from 1 species